UACGGAGGGGGCAAGCGUUGUUCGGAAUUACUGGGCGUAAAGGGCGCGCAGGCGGCUGCUCAAGUCAGGCGUGAAAGGCCUGGGCUCAACCCGGGAAUUGCGCUUGAGACUGGGCUGGCUUGAGUGCGGGAGAGGAUGGUGGAAUUCCCAGUGUAGAGGUGAAAUUCGUAGAUAUUGGGAAGAACACCGGUGGCGAAGGCGGCCAUCUGGACCGCAACUGACGCUGAGCGCGAAAGCGUGGGAGCAACAGG
rnacentral:rRNA from 1 species